AACAGGAUUAGAUACCCUGGUAGUCCAUGCCGUAAACGAUGAUUACUAAGUGUUGGAGGGUUUCCGCCCUUCAGUGCUGCAGCUAACGCAUUAAGUAAUCCGCCUGGGGAGUACGACCGCAAGGUUGAAACUCAAAAGAAUUGACGGGGGCCCGCACAAGCGGUGGAGCAUGUGGUUUAAUUCGAAGCUACGCGAAGAACCUUACCAGGUCUUGACAUCUUCUGACAGUCUAAGAGAUUAGAGGUUCCCUUCGGGGACAGAAUGACAGGUGGUGCAUGGUUGUCGUCAGCUCGUGUCGUGAGAUGUUGGGUUAAGUCCCGCAACGAGCGCAACCCUUAUUACUAGUUGCCAGCAUUAAGUUGGGCACUCUAGUGAGACUGCCGGUGACAAACCGGAGGAAGGUGGGGACGACGUCAAAUCAUCAUGCCCCUUAUGACCUGGGCUACACACGUGCUACAAUGGAUGGUACAACGAGUCGCGAAACCGCGAGGUUAAGCUAAUCUCUUAAAACCAUUCUCAGUUCGGACUGUAGGCUGCAACUCGCCUACACGAAGUCGGAAUCGCUAGUAAUCGCGGAUCAGCAUGCCGCGGUGAAUACGUUCCCGGGCCUUGUACACACCGCCCGUCACACCAUGAGAGUUUGUAACACCCAAAGCCGGUGGGGUAACCUUUUAGGAGCUAGCCGUCUAAGGUGGGACAGAUGAUUAGGGUGAAGUCGUAACAAGGUAACC
rnacentral:rRNA from 1 species